rfam:Myotis brandtii contig201234, whole genome shotgun sequence.
GGUGGUUCUCAGGUGACGAUCCCUGGAAUCGGGCUCCCUCCUCUCUGGUUCCGGGUGCGUCACCCGAGAACUGCA